rnacentral:rRNA from 1 species
AACGAACGCUGGCGGUAUGCCUAACACAUGCCAGUCGAACGAUACCUUCGGGUCUAGUGGCGCACGGGUGCGUAACGCGUGGGAACCUGCCCUUAGGCUCGGAAUAACCCCCCGAAAUGGGUGCUAAUAUCGGAUAAUUUCUUCUGACCAAAGAUUUAUCGUCUUUGGAUGGGCCCGCGUUGGAUUAGCUAGUUGGUAGGGCAAAAGCCUACCAAGGCGUCGAUCCAUAGCUGGUCUGGGAGGGUGAUUGGCCACACUGAGUCUGAGGCACGGCCCAGAAUCCUGCGGGAGGCAGCAGUGGGGGAUAUUGGAAAAUGGGCGCGAGGCUGAUGCAGCAAUGGCGCGUGAGUGAUGUAGGACUUAGGGUUGUAAAGCUGUUUUAGCCGGGAUGAUACUGACAGUACCGGGAGAAUAAGCUCCGGCUAACUUCGUG